rnacentral:misc_RNA from 1 species
AGAUUGCGGUUUGGAUUGAUGAGAUACUAUCAGAAUCUGAUGAUCGAAUGUUAAUGAUGGACUACGAUGAGGACGAAGAAGUGGAAAGGAGCAUGAUGAUAGGAUCUGUGGGCUCCCCGUCGACCUCUGCAGCCGCGUCGGGUUCAGUUGUGGGAGCGGGAUCGUCUACCACGAUUGCUGAGCCGACCGGCUCUGCGGGGGCGUCGAGUCCACCACCUGCCGCGGCCCCAGGAGCCGCGAGUCCACCCCCGCCUGCCGAGGCCGCAGGGGCCGCAAGCCCACCCUCUGCACCCGCCGGGACUACAACCCCACCACCUACCGUGGACGCAGGGACCGGAAGUCCUCCUCCAGCACCUGCCCCAGGGGCUGCAAGUCCACCACCACCGCCAGCCGGCAGUGCGGAGCAAAAAUAAGACAUUCUGUUCCCGGGCAGAUGGUCUUCGGGCGGCGGCGGCGGCGACGAUUUUGCUGAUGAUUUUCUCAACAUGAUGGGCGAAACCAGUCUUCUAAGAGGACCCACACCUGCUUAUCUGAAGUUUGAAGGCGAAAUGCUGGAGGCGUUUAAUAUUUUAACGGACUCUAUGGAAAAGAAAGGAGAUAAUAAGCUUCUUUCUUAUGGGAAAUUCAACCAAACUUAUGGGGAAGGAGCUGACGAGUUGAAACAGACUCCCGAUUUUACUGCCACAGAAUUUAACACCACAUUAGCCGGGCAACUGAAUAAGGAUCUAGCGGCUUGCGCAGCGCCUACCACGCCGCCUAACAUCGCCCCCUUCAUGACAGAAAUGGUUGAUAUUUGCUCUAAUUUCUUGGCACAACACGCAGAAUUUAACAAGGACAAAGGGCCUGCCUUCAAAAUUUUAAUACAAGAAAUGAAAAAGAAGCCCAAAGAUGAGCUUUACAAGAAAGAAAAAAUUAACCGCACCUAUGGACAAGGGGCUGGAAUACUUGAGAAGUCUAGAGGAAUGGAAACGGACCAUGACGAUCCCAAUCUAUCUCAGGAGGUUCAUGCGAAGUUGACUGAUUUGGUGAAGGCGGCUACUCCUGAUGAGCUGAAAACGGAUAUGGCUGAAACAUUGGAUAUUUCUUCCAAAUAUCUUUCACAGAACGCUGUGGAUGAGGUGGAACGAGGACCUGCAUUUGACAUAUUGAUUAAGAAGCUGGAAGCUGAAGGGUCCCAGGAGUUCACACCACAAUACGAUGUCUUGAAAACCAAUUUCAUCGCUGCAUAUGUACUAAAAUCAGCGCCAGGGCUAUGCAGCAUCACCCCGGAUCCCGAAACCGCUCCAGUGUUCGUGAAGGCUUUGCACGCUGUAGCUGACAGCGCUUGCCCUCCUAAUUUGAAGCAGGAUAUGGAUGAGGUCAUCGGCCGAUGUGCAAACUAUUUGUCAGCCUUCAUUCGUGACAGAGAAAAGGCUUUACAGAUUGUUAUAAAUGCAAUGAAGAAGACUCCAACUAAAGACUUAGCUAAAAGGGGGACUUACACUAUGAACUACGGAUAUGGAGCCAUGGAAACCGAGACUGCGCCCACAAUUGUUCCAUAUCUUCCUAUAAAGGAUAUAGCGGAUGAGAUGAAAGUAAAGCUACACAAAGAAACGGAAACAGAAACACCUGCAAACUUAAAGGUUGCGGUGAAAAGUGCGGUAGCAGACGUAUCUAAGCAUCUAUCACAGGGUACAGCCAUACGAAGCCAGGCAGCCGGUCCCAGAUACGGGCUCAACCUGCUGUCGGCAGUCAUGAAAUCAGCCGGGGACAAGAAACUAUAUAAACAGAAAAAUUACACGGAAACCUACGCCGAUGGUGGAACAGAACUGCAAUACGCCGGUAAAUUAGAAGCAGAUCCAAAAGCUCAGGAUUUACAAAUCGAAAUCGACUCUGAGCUACACAAAGGAGUGCCCGUCAAAAUUGCCCCUACUAUUGCGGAUAGCAUGGGAACUACAAUGGAAGAUGCCUCAAAACAUCUGGCUAAGUCGGGAAUGGAAAAAGCUGAGGCUGUGGAGCACCUGAUAAAAGUGAUGAAAGAAGAAGGCGAUGCCACCUUGGGUACCCUCCAAGGCUACGAACAAAGUUAUAAAGAUGGUGCUCGAAGGAUUCAAAACGCAGACUCUUUAGCCAACGACAAAGUAGAUAAAGCGGCGUAUGAAACUGUACACGGAAAACUUAAAAACCUAGUUGAGAAAAAGCCUGCCGAGGUGGCUGCGAAAGCUAUGCCGAAGGUGGUCGACGAGGCUUCCCAAUUUCUAGCAGCACCACUCCCCGAAACUGAGGCCGACAAGCGAAAAGUUCUGGGAGACUUGAUGGCGAGGAAGGAAUCAGACAUACUAACGCAGGAGGGAGAUUAUAAACUGACGUUCACGCAGGGCGGAAAAGAAAUUCAAAAGGCUCCUGUUGGGGUAACUACGGCACAAGACCCAGGAAAGAAAAAGCAAAUUGAAGAUCAAAUCAGUACCGCCAUACCCAACAAGGAAUUGAAAGAUCUUCUUCACAACCCGGCUGAGGAGGGAGCAGCUUACUUGGCCGACGAAGUUAAAGGGAUAGGGGAGGCUAUGAAACACAUCCAAACUGGACUUAAUAGUGAAGGAAGCAAGAAUUUCUUGAACGUUGGAAAAUUUGACAAAUCUUAUGCUGGUGCUGGAGAUAUGUUGGGUAAGGCGCCAUCCUUUGGUGGAGAGAACCCCAACGGGAUGAUUCGCGACGUGGUACACGAUAAAAUAGACCACCUUGACAAGCAGACUGCGUCGGAUUUAGCCAAGAAACAUAUGAACAAGGCGGUUGACAAAGCAUCUGAUUACAUUUCUGACGUCGCUACCAAGGAAUGUGGUUUGAAUGCAUCGGAAAUCGCCGCGUGGAAAGCGUCAGGCGCGGGCGCUGGCGCUGGCGCCGCCACGGACGGUGCAGACAGAAGGGAUAGUGCUGACGACGAGGCAAGGCGCCGUGCCGCUGAAGCCGCGAGAAGGGCCAAGAAAAAGAGUGCCGGUGAUACCGAUGCCGACGAAAGGGAGCGACAGGCUGCCAUGGACAUCCUGCACAAGCAACUACAGAACAAGGGUGGCGAGACGUUCUACAAACAUUCUCACUCUGAACUCUCGCACAAGUCUGCUUCGGAUUGGUUGAAGAGUCCAUCUAGCGUGCACCAAUCGGUGAAGGAAUCUGGAGAUACGUCGCGCUUGGCUAACAAGUUCGAGCGAAAGCUAGACUCGCUCGUUAGCACCAGCACUCCGGACCAACUGAAGGAUACCAUGCAAGAUGUUGUCAUUGAAGCUUCUCAUGGUCUUGCCGAAUUUUUUGUUGCUGAGAGUUACAAGGCCCUUGUGAAGGAUGGACUUAUAUAUGAAAUGCAAAAACAUGGGAACAAUGCAUUGAUUGACAAGAGAAACAUAACUGAGACCAAUUUCUUUGCUGCACAGAGGUUGAAGAAAAUGGAAGGUUCUAUACCCACAGCGCCAGACGUGGAGCCAUCCCGAACCGUGGCUCACCUCUGCAGGAGACUGGAGGAAACCAUCAAAUGUCGCGCUAUGCCUCGCAAAUUAAUAGGCACUAUGAAACAACAUAUCCGAAAUACUGCUCACUAUUUGUCCGAUAUUGUGGCUACACCAGACCCGAGCAUUGAGGCCUACGUGGCACUUCUCAAAGAGAUGGACACGCAGGGCAGCGCUCUGCUCGUGGAGGGAUCUAUCCCCAAAACUUACAAAGAUUCCGCAGCAUACCUUCGAUUAUUGACAUCGUGUCAAGAUCAGAUCAAUCUCCCUAACUCGGGUUUGGAGGGCACUAUCUCAAGCAACCUCACCAGAAUCAUGAAUAACGUGCCUGAAAGAGGGUACACCAAAACUGACUUAGACGCUGUAAUUCGUGCACAAUCGAAGUUACUGGCGUCAUACAUUAUGCUGCAAGAAAAAAGAACGGCUCUGUUGAAGCAAGUGGUAGACCGGCUUGCCUCGGCGCCCGAGGGUCUGCUGCUGCGUCACGGCACCAUCCGCCAGUCCAACGGCGACGGAGCUCGCAUAUUAAAUGGAAAGAAUACCGAUCAACUAACUGUGACCGGUGCUGACCCCGUAGUGGAACGUAAAGUUCAAAUCAAGAUUGUUACGUUGAUGGAAGGAUUGGUGCCAGAUAACCAACAAAAAGAACUCAUGGAUGGUGUAAUUGCUGACGCUACUCGAUACCUUGCUGUUCAUCUCUUGCAACCACAUGUGAUCCAAGUGUGUAAGUGCAUGAAGAGCGUAUUCGUGCAGUGCGAGCUGUGGUGUGACGAAAUCUUCAGACGCAUGUCGCGUCCCUGCUGCACAUGCUCACGGCAGCUGGUGAUGGAUGCACUGUCAGAGCUAGCACCCGGCGAGCGACUCCAAUCGACUUCGGGAGAUCACGCUUUCGCGCCCGGCGUCGACAUCAGCGUCAGGCCGUGCUCACGUACCUGCACCCGCAGUUCAAUCUGCCCCGCACCCGCCCCCACCGAGGGCUGCCAGACCUCCUACAUGCUCUACUCCACCGAGUACAACCGCCAGCACCAGUUCCUCGACUCUCCUACCAAGCUGUCACGCUCGCCUGAAAUCAAAUCCGUCCAGCCUUCUAGCACCGCCAUCAGCUGCUUGUCACUUGAUGUGUCAAAUCAAUACUCUUCGUCUCCGUCUUCCGGAGAACGGAUAUUUGAAAUAAAACCAUCGAGCUCAUGCUUAAUACGCCAACCGACCCCGAACAAGAGCGAACUCGGAAUGUCUAAUUCCUUAUCUUAUCAUACACCCACAAAUCCUUCUAUCGACAAAUCUGGCGGUUAUAGCCCACCUGUUUCGUUACGUUUGCAGACAACUCUGUCAGUUGCAACACCAAUAUCGGAGGCAUUUAGACCGUCUGGCAGCAGAAGUCCGGAUUCUAAUGUUUCAGGCAUACCUGUGAUCUCAACGGAUCAAAUGGGCGACUGGCACGCUAUGAUGGUGAGCCUGACGUGGAACGUUCAAGCCUGGCGCAAGUGGAUUCAGGAGACCGUGGACCGCGCGCUGUCGUAUCAGGACAGCUGUUUGGCAGGCCUUGGAAAUAUUCCCAAAUGUAACAUUCUGUUCAUUGUUCAAAAUAUUAAAUGGCGGCGGUGGAGGCAACAACGAUUCCUUAUACAUUUUAUUUUUAUAAAUCCUACCGACUGCGCCAUGUGCGCUAUGCGAGUAUGGGACACGUAAGUCAAACACGAGUAAGAGACAAAGACUCCUUUAUUCAAAUCCGAGCAUACCCACAUUUACCAAUUCCUAAUAUACCCGCAGUGUGCACCCACCACAGCUUCUACGGCAGUUGCGCUUUACUAAAUCGAUAAAAUAGUUAUUUCGUUCAUAUUGGUUCAGUUCAACCAAUAGAAACGUUUUACCAGAUUGGUGUUGUAAACUAAAGAAUUUAAUACUCGCAGACACAGCAGAGUCGUGGAAUGCGUUUCGAAGAAAAAUAGCUACGGAGGCCCUGCAAUGGCGCCAGUACAAUAUUUUUAGUAGGCAGUUGAUUCUACGGCUGGCUCUUCGAUACCAGGAUAAAAAGAUUGUCUCUCCG